AAGAGUAUUUCCAAGGAUCAUUUCUAUAGUUCAUUACUAGACUGGAGAAGUUUCUCUGAACGUGCAUAGCACCAGAAAACAUGAGGAGGUGAUGAAACAUUCUCUCCCGAGCAUCAAGCCCUGAUUUAGCUUCACUAAAAUCACCAUUUGCCAUUAGGGACUGCAAGUGG
rnacentral:snoRNA from 1 species